GAAGGAAAGAACUACCAGGACACAGUGUUGGAUAUCAAGAGCUACAUGGUACAGAUAGGGGUACCCAUCAGGUAUAUGCAGUAUGACGUAACGUUGUACAGUGACCUUGACAAUGGUGUUGUCACGUGGUCGUCUCCACCUGGCGUUUUCCCCAAUGGACCUCAGUGGCUUUAUAACAAGACAGAGAUACCCGUCUUUGGCUACAACCCGUU